UACAGAGGUCCCAAGCGUUGUUCGGAUUUACUGGGCGUAAAGGGUGCGUAGGUGGUCGGAUAAGUUUGAUGUGAAAUCUCCGGGCUUAACCCGGAAACUGCAUUGAAUACUAUCUGGCUGGAGGGUUGGAGGGGGGACUGGAAUACUUGGUGUAGCAGUGAAAUGCGUAGAUAUCAAGUGGAACACCAGUGGCGAAGGCGAGUCUCUGGACAACUCCUGACACUGAGGCACGAAAGCUAGGGGAGCAAACAGG
rnacentral:rRNA from 1 species